UAAGUGGCUUUGAGAUCAGCGGAACGCUCUGGAAAGUGCGGCCAUAGUGGGUGAUAGCCCUGUACGCGAAAAUCUCUUAGUCAUGAAAUCGAGUAGGACGGAGCACGAGAAACUUUGUCUGAAUAUGGGGGGACCAUCCUCCAAGGCUAAAUACUACUGACUGACCGAUAGUGAACUAGUACCGCGGCUAGACGAAAAGAAC
rnacentral:rRNA from 1 species